UUCAAUACUUUAGCAUUCUUCAUUAUGGUUUAAGGUAAGCUGUCCUCUCUGUCACUCUACUUGGGGUCUCCAAUUAUAGUAACCAAAAUGAGUCCCACCCAGGUCCUUUCAUCAGCAAUAAUCUCUAACCAGCUCCUGCCUAGGAAUGUCCUUCCAGGGGCAAAAGAGGAACAAUUUCCUGUUAGUUUAACUUGGCCUCAGGUCAGUAAGUCACCUGUGCCUUUCCCAUGUCACGUGUUAUUUGAGAACUGAAGGGGGAGAGAAAGUUCAGAGCAAAGAGGAAAGGUAGACAAUACAAUUUUUAAAAAGGAACCACAGUAUUUCUGUCCAGUGAAGAAUUGAUGACCGGGUCAGAGAGUACGAUGUAUAGUUCAUAUCAGGAAAUUACCGGAAACAGAAACCAUGUAAUACUCACAGCUAUAUUGGCUCUCACGCUUUCUCUGCAGUGGAGUGCAUCUUAAUGUUCUUUUACUCCCAUAAUUACAGCUGGUUUUGAUGAAAACAAGCAAGAACAUAUUCCUCCUAUAACCCAAUAGUAUUGUUUUAAUCAUAGCUCUUAUGGUUGCAAAAUUAGAGGGCAAAGAAGGAGGAUGCGUGGGGUAAUUUAGUUAGAGAUUUCACAUUUUAGUCAACGGGAAACAUCAUUAUUUCAAUCAUAAGCCUUUGGAUUCUGGAGCAGUCCAGAUGGGGACACUGGUGGACUGAGCGGACUGUGAACGUGGUUGAGGUUUUUGUUUUUUAAUGUUUUACAAAUAGUGGUAAAGAUUGUACUUGAAGAUAUAGCUGUGUUUAUUCUUUGGAAACAUAUGAAAAUGAAAUAUAAGUCUGUUUUCCUUUCCCUGCUCCUGCUUUUGUUACAGGCUUUGCUGCACAAUGAGUUCCUUGGACAAAACUUCUGUCCAGAAGACAGGAUGGAAGAACUCAGUAGAUGCCAUAACUAUGUAAUAUGUGCUGGUGAAGAAUUCUUGGCGAUCCAGGGCAUCGAUCUCUCAUCGUGGGGCUUCUGGGAGAAUCACCUGGCUUUAGCUUGUAUAAUGAUUAUCCUCUUAACAAUUACCUAUGUGCAGUUAUUACAGGUUAAGACAUUAGAAGUUCUUAGAUCGCGGGGGAGGAAUUUUCUUCAGUUGUUUAACUAAAUACCAAAGUAUCUUCUGUAUGUCUGUAAUUGUAUUCCUGGACAAAUGCUACAUCCAGCCUGACCCAGAGAGGAUCCCUCUGCUGUGAACACUGAUGAAUGUAGAGACUCAUGGCUGCUCACAGUACAGGGCUAAGGGACACUCCAGUGCUUAUCUCCAACAGGACACCUAUUNNNCAUUNNUAGCGUGCCCUCUAUAGCUCAGAGCAUUGUAGAGUAGAAAGAGUGCAGGAGCCAGAAUAUGAGAAGAAGGAGUGGAAAUGCAAUAUUGUGGUCCUGCACAGCCAAGGCAACCAUGGUCUGUGUCUCAACUCUACGGCUACCUACAGAAGACUGGAUCCCUCAUCAGCACAGAAGGAGCAGAGGAGAACUCAAUGGGUCCAUCCCCCAUUCUGCUCAACUAUUGGCUACUGGCAGAUCAUGGGGGAGAGGCAGUCAUUGAUUUCACAUGUAUGUUCACAUUUGAGCCUAGAGACUCCAGUGGAAAGUCCGAAACACUCUGAUCCCACACACAGCCCUGUUUAAACUCUGUGGGUCAUAAGACAAAGAUGUGGAUGUGAGAAAGAGACUUGUAAAGAAGAGUAUUUCAAGGGAGUGUAAGGAAAAUGAGAGAGGUGGGACGGAGGGGGAAAUGGCUGAAAUGCAUUAUAUAUGGAAUUGUAUAUUUUUAAAAAUAAAAUUAUAGAAAAGCAA
rnacentral:sRNA from 1 species